UAACACGUGGGGAACCUGCCCCAUAGUCUGGGAUACCACUUGGAAACAGGUGCUAAUACCGGAUAAGAAAGCGGAUCGCAUGAUCAGCUUUUAAAAGGCGGCGUAAGCUGUCGCUAUGGGAUGGCCCCGCGGUGCAUUAGCUAGUUGGUAAGGUAAAGGCUUACCAAGGCGAUGAUGCAUAGCCGAGUUGAGAGACUGAUCGGCCACAUUGGGACUGAGACACGGCCCAAACUCCUACGGGAGGCAGCAGCG
rnacentral:rRNA from 1 species